rnacentral:misc_RNA from 1 species
UUAAGUUCAGCGGGUAUCCCUACCUGAUCCGAGGUCAACCAUAGAAAAUUGGGGGUUGCUGGCAAGCGUCCACCGGAACCCUAUAGCGAGAGAAAUUACUACGCUUAGAGCCAGAUGCGCCGCCACUGAUUUAAGGGCUGCCAGUUGGCAGGCCCCAACACAAGCUGAGCUUGAGGGGUUAUAAUGACGCUCGAACAGGC